rnacentral:rRNA from 1 species
AGUGAACGUUGGCGGCGUGGAUUAGGCAUGCAAGUCGAGCGAGAACCGUAGCAAUACGGGGACAGCGGCGAAAGGGACAGUAAUGUGUAGGUACCUACCCCCGGGUUCGAGAUAGCUGCGGGAAACUGCAGGUAAUACCGAAUAAUGUCUUCGGACCAAAGGUGUGAUUCCACCUUGGGAGGGGCCUGCAUCCUAUUAGCUUGUUGGCGGGGUAACGGCGCACCAAGGCGACGAUGGGUAGCGGGUGCGAGAGCACGACCCGCGUCAUUGGGACUGAGACACUGCCCAGACACCUACGGGUGGCUGCAGUCAGGGAUCUUCGGCAAUGGGCGCAAGCCUGACCGAGCGACGCCGCGUGCGGGAUGAAGGCCUUCGGGUUGUAAACCGCUGUCGUAGAGGAGGAAGUGCAGGGGGGUUCUCCCCUCUGUUUGACCUAUUCUAGGAGGAAGGACGGGCUAAGUUCGUGCCAGCAGCCGCCGUAA